rnacentral:rRNA from 1 species
GACGAACGCUGGCGGCGUGCUUAACACAUGCAAGUCGAACGGAAAGGCCCUGCUUUUGUGGGGUGCUCGAGUGGCGAACGGGUGAGUAACACGUGAGUAACCUGCCCUUGACUUUGGGAUAACUUCAGGAAACUGGGGCUAAUACCGGAUAGGAGCUCCUGCUUCAUGGUGGGGGUUGGAAAGUUUCGGCGGUUGGGGAUGGACUCGCGGCUUAUCAGCUUGUUGGUGGGGUAGUGGCUUACCAAGGCUUUGACGGGUAGCCGGCCUGAGAGGGUGACCGGCCACAUUGGGACUGAGAUACGGCCCAGACUCCUACGGGAGGCAGAAGUGGGGAAUAUUGCACAAUGGGCGGAAGCCUGAUGCAGCAACGCCGCGUGCGGGAUGACGGCCUUCGGGUUGUAAACCGCUUUCGCCUGUGACGAAGCGUGAGUGACGGUAAUGGGUAAAGAAGCACCGGCUAACUACGUG